rnacentral:rRNA from 1 species
GACGAACGCUGGCGGCGUGCCUAAUACAUGCAAGUCGAACGCAGUGGGGACGGGUGAGUAACACGUUGGUCACCUCCCAUCAGAGGGGAUAACACUUGGACACAUGUGCUAAACCGAUACUGAUGGAUGGACCCGCGGUGCGUUAGCGAGUUGGUGAGGUAACGGCUCACCAAGGCCACGAUGCAUAGCGGACCGGGGGGGGUGAUCGCCAACAUGGGGAUUGGGAAACGGCCCGGCGUCCACGGGGAGGCAGAAGUGGGGAAUUUUCGGAAAGGGAGGAAGGUUGAACCGGGAAACGCCGGGGAGGGGAGGAGGGUUUUCGGUUGGUAAGACUCGGUAGUUAGGACAACGGUAUCGAAACAGAAAGCCACGGCUAACUACGUGCCAGCAGCCGCGGUAAUAC